rnacentral:rRNA from 1 species
GCGUNNNCCUAUNAUGCNAGUCGAGCGAAUGGAUUAAGAGCUUGCUCUUAUGAAGUUAGCGGCGGACGGGUGAGUAACACGUGGGUAACCUGCCCAUAAGNCUGGNAUANCUCCUUAAAACCGGGGCUAAUACCGGAUAACAUUUUGAACCGCAUGGUUCGAAAUUGAAAGGCGGCUUCGGCUGUCACUUAUGGAUGGACCCGCGUCGCAUUAGCUAGUUGGUGAGGUAACGGCUCACCAAGGCAACGAUGCGUAGCCGACCUGAGAGGGUGAUCGGCCACACUGGGACUGAGACACGGCCCAGACUCCUACGGGAGGCAGCAGUAGGGAAUCUUCCGCAAUGGACGAAAGUCUGACGGAGCAACGCCGCGUGAGUGAUGAAGGCUUUCGGGUCGUAAAACUCUGUUGUUAGGGAAGAACAAGUGCUAGUUGAAUAAGCUGGCACCUUGACGGUACCUAACCAGAAAGCCACGGCUAACUACGUGCCAGCAGCCGCGGUAAUACGUAGGUGGCAAGCGUUAUCCGGAAUUAUUGGGCGUAAAGCGCGCGCAGGUGGUUUCUUAAGUCUGAUGUGAAAGCCCACGGCUCAACCGUGGAGGGUCAUUGGAAACUGGGAGACUUGAGUGCAGAAGAGGAAAGUGGAAUUCCAUGUGUAGCGGUGAAAUGCGUAGAGAUAUGGAGGAACACCAGUGGCGAAGGCGACUUUCUGGUCUGUAACUGACACUGAGGCGCGAAAGCGUGGGGAGCAAACAGGAUUANAUACCCUGGUAGUCCACGCCGUAAACGAUGAGUGCUAAGUGUUANAGGGUUUCCGCCCUUUAGUGCUGAAGUUAACGCAUUAAGCACUCCCCCCUGGGGNAGUACCGCCCGCAGGNCUGAAACUCAAAGGAAAUUGACNGGGCCCCCNACAAACGGUGGGAACAUU